UACGUAGGGUGCGAGCGUUAAUCGGAAUUACUGGGCGUAAAGGGCGCGUAGGCGGUCUUGUAAGUCUCGUGUGAAAUCCCUCGGCUUAACUGAGGAACUGCACGGGAUACUGCAUGACUUGAGGUCGGGAGAGGGAAGCGGAAUUCCGGGUGUAGCGGUGAAAUGCGUAGAUAUCCGGAGGAACACCGGUGGCGAAGGCGGCUUCCUGGACCGACUCUGACGCUGAGGCGCGAAAGCUAGGGGAGCAAACGGG
rnacentral:rRNA from 1 species